rnacentral:lncRNA from 1 species
UAGUAAACAGCAAAAUGCAAAACUCAAGCCAAAAACCUUCCUAAAGUAAAGACAAUUUAAAUAACACAGGAUUAUUCUGUGUUGGAGAGAAACUAUAGAAUAGAAAUUUUAUAUUUCAAAAAGGCUCAGGCUACAACCAAAAAUAACAUAUCCUUAGAACCUGAGCCUAAUCAUUAUUAUUAUCACUAACAACAACAGGUGGAUUUUUCACUAAAGAACAGGAAAAACAAAAGAUGACCAAAUUAUUUGACUUGCAAACACUCCAAAUAACAGAAAUGCAAUAAGGGUAAGUAAAUACAUUCAUCAAGAAAAUAAUUAACUAAUACAUUCAGUUCUUUUUAUUGAUUAUUAUUUGAAAAGAGAGAAUGAUCUUUGGAGUGAGUGGAUAAACAAGGAGGGUUCAUCAAAGGACCAAAAGGAUCUAAGGAAUUUAAAAUUCAAGGAGAAGUUAAAUAAUUUGGAGAAAAGAAAGUGGAAGAUCAAUUAAUUCUCUCUGAUCAUCCUGGAUAAAUGUUUUGUGAGAGAAUGAUCCUGUGUAAGAUUGUAAUGCUACCCUAACCAAAAGUUAGUAGAGUCUCAAGUUGGUUUAGUUGCUCCUCCCUGGCCUAAGGGCAAGGUGGCUACCCUCAGGCCUGGAGAUCACUGAGGAGAUCUGACUUCUUAAUUAAACCACAGUAAUUUUUAUUAAAGUUGGUAAUUAGGAGUUUAGGAAGUACCUUGGGCUAGGAAGGUCCUUAAUCUUUUACCAAUCUAUCUGUCCCCAUUCCCUCUGAUCCUCAUGGAUUUCUUUGGUCUCCAGUCAAGCCAGAGCUACUCUGUCUUUCUCUCUAUCUCUGUCCAACUUUCAGACUUAACUACCUAAGCUAUGCCCACCAACAAAAGUCUUUUCAGUAGUACAACUCAUAAGAUAAGAAACCAAGUGACCAGGCUGAUCCAGGCACCCAAAGUUAAGGAUGACAAUAGCAGAGAAUUAUGUAAAUAG